GACGAACGCUGGCGGCGCGCUUAACACAUGCAAGUCGAGCGAAGCGGCGACCGGGUGAGUAACACGUGAGUAACCUGCCUUAGACAUUGGGAUAGCAUCGGGAAACCGGGAUUAAUACCAAAUGGUCUAAGAUGGACUUGCGUCCCAUUAGCUAGUUGGUGGGUAACGGCCCCCAAAGGCGACGAUGGGUAGCCGGCACGGGAGGGUGAAUGGCGACAUUGGAACUGGGAAACGGUCCAAACUCUACGGGAGGGAGCAGUGGGGAAUAUUGCACAAUGGAGUGAACUAUGAUGCAGCGACGCCGCGUGAACGCAGAAGGCUUUCGAGUCGUAAAUUUCUUUUAUAUGGGAAGCGGUACCAUAAGAAAAAGCCCCGGCUAACUACGUGCCAGCAGCCGCGGUAAUUC
rnacentral:rRNA from 1 species